rnacentral:rRNA from 1 species
GGCGAGCGGCGGACGGGUGAGUAAUGUCUGGGGAUCUGCCCGAUGGAGGGGGAUAACUACUGGAAACGGUAGCUAAUACCGCAUAACGUCGCAAGACCAAAGUGGGGGGACCUUCGGGCCUCACACCAUCGGAUGUGCCCAGAUGGGAUUAGCUUGUUGGUGGGGUAAUGGCUCACCAAGGCGACGAUCCCUAGCUGGUCUGAGAGGAUGACCAGCCACACUGGAACUGAGACACGGUCCAG